GAUGAACGCUGGCGGCGUGCUUAACACAUGCAAGUCGAACGAAGCACCUUGAUUUGAUUCUUCGGAUGAAGAUCUUGGUGACUGAGUGGCGGACGGGUGAGUAACGCGUGGGUAACCUGCCUCAUACAGGGGGAUAACAGUUAGAAAUGACUGCUAAUACCGCAUAAGACCACAGCACCGCAUGGUGCAGGGGUAAAAACUCCGGUGGUAUGAGAUGGACCCGCGUCUGAUUAGGUAGUUGGUGGGGUAACGGCCUACCAAGCCGACGAUCAGUAGCCGACAUGAGAGGGUGACCGGCCACAUUGGGACUGAGACACGGCACAAACUCCUACGGGAGGCAGCAGUGGGGAAUAUUGCACAAUGGGGGAAACCCUGAUGCAGCGACGCCGCGUGAGCGAUGAAGUAUUGCGGUAUGUAAAGCUCUAGCAGCAGGGAAGAAAAUGACGGUACCUGACUAAGAAGCACCGGCUAAAUACGUG
rnacentral:rRNA from 1 species